rnacentral:rRNA from 1 species
GACGGAGGAUGCAAGCGUUAUCCGGAAUGAUUGGGCGUAAAGCGUCCGCAGGUGGCAGUUCAAGUCUGCUGUCAAAGACCGGGGCUUAACUUCGGAAAGGCAGUGGAAACUGAACAGCUAGAGUAUGGUAGGGGCAGAGGGAAUUCCUGGUGUAGCGGUGAAAUGCGUAGAGAUCAGGAAGAACAUCGGUGGCGAAGGCGCUCUGGCUGGACCAUAACUGACACUGAGGGACGAAAGCUAGGGGAGCGAAAGGG